AGAGUUUGAUCCUGGCUCAGGAUGAACGCUAGCUACAGGCCUAACACAUGCAAGUCGAGGGGCAGCGGGGAACAAGCUUGCUUGUUCCGCCGGCGACCGGCGCACGGGUGCGUAACGCGUAUCGAAUCUGCCCCAUACCCGGGAAUAGCCUUGCGAAAGUAAGAUUAAUGCCCGAUGUUCUCCGGAUUCCGCAUGUUAUCCGGAGCAAAGAUUCAUCGGUAUGGGAUGACGAUGCGUAGCAUUAGGUAGUAGGCGGGGUAACGGCCCACCUAGCCGACGAUGCUUAGGGGUUCUGAGAGGAAGGUCCCCCACACUGGAACUGAGACACGGUCCAGACUCCUACGGGAGGCAGCAGUGAGGAAUAUUGGUCAAUGGCCGAGAGGCUGAACCAGCCAAGUAGCGUGCAGGAUGACGGCCCUCCGGGUUGUAAACUGCUUUUAGUUGGGAAUAAAAGGCGGGACGUGUCCCGCGUAUUGUAUGUACCAUCAGAAAAAGGACCGGCUAAUUCCGUGCCAGCAGCCGCGGUAAUACGGAAGGUCCGGGCGUUAUCCGGAUUUAUUGGGUUUAAAGGGAGCGUAGGCGGGCUGGAAAGUCAGUUGUGAAAGUUCGGGGCUCAACCUCGGAAUUGCAGUUGAAACUGUCAGUCUUGAGUUCACGCAGGGGCGCUGGAAUUCAUGGUGUAGCGGUGAAAUGCUUAGAUAUCAUGAAGAACUCCGAUCGCGAAGGCAUGUGCCCGGAGUGCGACUGACGCUGAGGCUCGAAAGUGCGGGUAUCAAACAGGAUUAGAUACCCUGGUAGUCCGCACAGUAAACGAUGGAUACUCGCGGUGUGCCAGUUAU
rnacentral:rRNA from 1 species